rnacentral:rRNA from 1 species
UACGAAGGGGGCGAGCGUUGUUCGGAUUUACUGGGCGUAAAGGGCGCGUAGGCGGCCUGCUAAGUCGAACGUGAAAUCCCCGGGCUCAACCCGGGAACUGCGUCCGAUACUGGUUGGCUUGAAUCCGGGAGAGGGAUGCGGAAUUCCAGGUGUAGCGGUGAAAUGCGUAGAUAUUGGGAGGAACACCAGUGGCGAAGGCGGUCCCCCUGGGCCGGAACUGACGCUGAGGCGGCGAAAGCGUGGGUAGCAAACGGG